rnacentral:rRNA from 1 species
AACGAACGCUGGCGGCGUGCCUAACACAUGCAAGUCGUGCGGGAAAGUUCCCUUCGGGGAGCGAGUAUAGCGGCGCACGGGUGAGUAAUACGUAGGUAACCUGCUCUUGAGACUGGGACAACCUGUCGAAAGACGGGCUAAUACCGGAUAAGACCACGGGAGCUGCGGCUCCUGCGGUAAAAGGUGGCCUCUGCUUGCAAGCUAUCACUCGAGGAUGGGCCUGCGUGCCAUUAGCUAGUUGGUGAGGUAACGGCUCACCAAGGCAGAGAUGGCUAGCUGGUCUGAGAGGAUGACCAGCCACACUGGGACUGAGACACGGCCCAGACUCCUACGGGAGGCAGCAGUGGGGAAUAUUGCGCAAU